rfam:Gossypium hirsutum cultivar TM-1 chromosome 19, whole genome shotgun sequence
UAUUAAAAAUUCCAUCCAUUUCUACUGUUAAAAACUUAUGUAUCUAACAAAAUAACCAGACAGUUACACGUGACGUAUAGGGACCAGUUUUUAGCUGUAAUAAUGGAUGAAAUUUUUAACA